GAUGAACGCUAGCUACAGGCUUAACACAUGCAAGUCGAGGGGUAACGAGAGGAAAGCUUGCUUUCCUUGUCGACGACCGGCGCACGGGUGAGUAACGCGUAUCCAACCUGCCCCCAACUAGGGAAUAACCUUGCGAAAGUAAGACUAAUACCCUAUAAUUUCCUCAGAUGUCAUCUGACGAGGAGUAAAGAUUUAUCGGUUGUGGAUGGGGAUGCGUCUGAUUAGCUUGUUGGCGGGGUAACGGCCCACCAAGGCAACGAUCAGUAGGGGUUCUGAUAGGAAGGUCCCCCACAUUGGAACUGAGAACCGGUCCAAACUCCUACGCGAGGCAGCAGGGAGGAAUAUUGGUCAAUGGGCGGAAGCCUGAACCAGCCAAGUAGCGUGCAGGAUGACGGCCCUAUGGGUUGUAAACUGCUUUUAUACAGGAAUAAAGUUAGCCACGUGUGGUUAUUUGUAGGUACUGUAUGAAUAAGGACCGGCUAAUUCCGUGCCAGCAGCCGCAGUAA
rnacentral:rRNA from 1 species